rnacentral:rRNA from 1 species
GACGUAGGGCGCGAGCGUUGUCCGGAUUUAUUGGGCGUAACGAGCUCGUAGGCGGCUUGUCGCGUCGUCCGUGAAAACCCACAGCUCAACUGUGGGCUUGCGGUCGAUACGGGCAGGCUAGAGUUCGGUAGGGGAGACUGGAAUUCCUGGUGUAGCGGUGAAAUGCGCAGAUAUCAGGAGGAACACCGGUGGCGAAGGCGGGUCUCGGGGCCGAUACUGACGCUGAGGAGCGAAAGCGUGGGGAGCGAACAGG